rnacentral:rRNA from 1 species
GAGAUUCCCCCAGUAGCGGCGAGCGAACGGGGAGCAGCCCAGAGCCUGAAUCAGUGUGUGUGUUAGUGGAAGCGUCUGGAAAGGCGUGCGACACAGGGUGACAGCCCCGUACACAAAAAUGCACAUACUGUGAGCUCGAUGAGUAGGGCGGGACACGUGGUAUCCUGUCUGAAUAUGGGGGGACCAUCCUCCAAGGCUAAAUACUCCUGACUGACCGAUAGUGAACCAGUACCGUGAGGGAAAGGCGAAAAGAA